CGCGGUAAUACGGAGGGUGCGAGCGUUAAUCGGAAUUACUGGGCGUAAAGCGCGCGUAGGUGGUUUGAUAAGCGAGAUGUGAAAGCCCCGGGCUUAACCUGGGAACGGCAUUUCGAACUGUCAGGCUAGAGUGUGGUAGAGGGUAGUGGAAUUUCCUGUGUAGCGGUGAAAUGCGUAGAUAUAGGAAGGAACACCGGUGGCGAAGGCGGCUACCUGGACCAAUACUGACACUGAGGUGCGAAAGCGUGGGGAGCGAACAGGAUUAGAUACCCUGGUAGUCCACGCCGUAAACGAUGAGUGCUAAGUGU
rnacentral:rRNA from 1 species